GGCACCAGUGGCACCAGGCAAAUCCCUGGCUGGCUAUUGCUGUUGACUGUGUGUAAACUACGGGAGGUGAAGAUCUGGAACUCGACAAAGACUAAAGACGGUUUACCCUAGUGAUGCUAACGGAUGGAACCAGACUGGAUGAAAAUGGGGUCCUGAACAGAGCUACUACAGAGAAUGGCUAUGAGCUUGACUGCUUCAGCUUUGGCUGUUGACAAGCGGCUUGAUCCUGCUUUACCAGGGAGGCGUAGCCACGGGACCUGAAACGCUCAGGACGUCUGAUGCUCGUCACAUUGUCCUGGGCUUUGAGAUGGCGCUGACAGUACAUCUGCCUUCGGUGCUCUUGAUAGGCUGGCAGAUGCCAUGGGGGAGAAACCAGAACAGAAAGAGGUCUGAUUGGACCAGAGCGUCUCCAGUUGCGCUUCACUGCAUUGAGAUAGAUGACAUAGAAAAAAGACCCGGGACCUCAUUUUUAUAAAUGUUCUUGAAUUUAAACUUAGACAUGAUCUUAAGAUCACUUCCCAAGUUGUGCUUAUGCUUGAUCUGUAA